UCCUCAUUGGUCCAGUAGUUAAGAUUCUGCACUACCAAUGCAGCAGUCCUGGGUUCAAUCCCUGGUUGGAGAA
rnacentral:tRNA from 1 species